rnacentral:rRNA from 1 species
GACGAACGCUGGCGGCGUGCCUAAUACAUGCAAGUCGAGCGGACGGAUGGGAGCUUGCUCCCAGACCGUCAGCGGCGGACGGGUGAGUAACACGUGGGCAACCUGCCUGUAAGACUGGGAUAGCUCCGGGAAACCGGGGCUAAUACCGGAUAACUCUUUCCCUCACAUGAGGGAAAGCUGAAAGAUGGCAUCUCGCUAUCACUUACAGAUGGGCCCGCGGCGCAUUAGCUAGUUGGUGAGGUAACGGCUCACCAAGGCGACGAUGCGUAGCCGACCUGAGAGGGUGAUCGGCCACACUGGGACUGAGACACGGCCCAGACUCCUACGGGAGGCAGCAGUAGGGAAUCUUCCGCAAUGGACGAAAGUCUGACGGAGCAACGCCGCGUGAGUGAUGAAGGUUUUCGGAUCGUAAAACUCUGUUGUCAGGGAAGAACAAGUACCGGAGUAACUGCCGGUACCUUGACGGUACCUGACCAGAAAGCCACGGCUAACCACGUG